CCUUCGCACGUGUGUAAACAAGAUGGUGAGAAGUAAAGCGCUGAUAUUAUGGCAAUUUUAACCCGAGGACAUUGGUUGGAACAUUUCUAUGGCGUUUUCCUUUAAAAUACUGUAAUACCAAGUCAAGGUUGUCAUAACUGCAAAUGAUCAAGAAAAAGCAUUUAAAAUUAAAGGGAUCGUGCACUAUGGUGCACAUCAUUUGGCUAAAA